rnacentral:tRNA from 1 species
GGGUGGUUAGCUCAGUUGGUGAGAGCACUAGCUUGACAUGCUAGGGGUCACAGGUUCAAGUCCUGUAUCGCCCA